rnacentral:tRNA from 1 species
GCGGCUGUAGUUUAAUGGCAGAACCCAGGACUGUGGAUCCUGUAGCGCGAGUUCGAUUCUCGCCAGCCGCC